rnacentral:rRNA from 1 species
UACGGAAGGCAGCAGUGGGGAAUAUUGCACAAUGGGCGCAAGCCUGAUGCAGCCAUGCCGCGUGUAUGAAGAAGGCCUUCGGGUUGUAAAGUACUUUCAGUCGUGAGGAAGGUGUUAAGGUUAAUAACCUUAGCAAUUGACGUUAGCGACAGAAGAAGCACCGGCUAACUCCGUGCCAGCAGCCGCGGUAAUACGGAGGGUGCGAGCGUUAAUCGGAAUUACUGGGCGUAAAGGGCACGCAGGCGGUUAAUUAAGUUGGAUGUGAAAUCCCCGGGCUUAACCUGGGAAUGGCAUUCAAGACUGGUUAGCUAGAGUCUUGUAGAGGGGGUAGAAUUCCAUGUGUAGCGGUGAAAUGCGUAGAGAUGUGGAGGAAUACCGGUGGCGAAGGCGGCCCCUGGACAAAGACUGACGCUCAUGUGCGAAAGCGUGGGGAGCGAAACAGGAUUAGAUACC